AUAGCACACAGUAGGUCCCCCGUCUGGCGGCGUCUCGCCUCGACCAGGCGGCGCCGGGCGGUGGCCGACGACCGACCCAAGCACAAACAGCGGGCGCCGAGCUGCAGACGAGCGCAAGCGCUCGACCAGUCCCGCGAGCCGACGCCGCCAUCCAUUGCCGGCGCGUCCCUGUUCUCUCUGUCGCCGUCCCUGUCGUUCACGGCUCUACCUAUACGCUAAUCUUCCAGCACCGUCAUCGGUCCUCUAAAUCUGCGCUGCUCUGGUGUGCUAAUUUUAAGGGUAAAAGACACCCCUUUGAUGACUUGUAGUGCGGUGCCAAGCAAGCCUGCCUUGUUGCCACCUCGAGGAUUACUCCUGGCUUGUUUCCCCGAAGCCUCCCUUGAGGGAGAAGGCAAAGAGGCAUCGAUGGUGCUCGCGGCACCUGCAGCAGGGGAAGAGGGUUGAGGCUGUGGAGACUGGAGAUCUUUGGGGAGCUCAGCCUUAGGAGGAGGUGAUGUUUGCGCUGGGAGAGGUGGGCCUCUCCAAGACGACAGAGAUCCAGUUGGUUGAUGUGACCAAGCUUGCUCGGCUCCCACACCGGCUCCAGAAAAGACGUUCUUCUACUUGCUCCUUGUUUGUUGUUCAGGUGCUUCUUUCUUCAGUAUGGCCUACAUGCACUGUUGACUAAUAAGCAAUGUGUUGCUCUUUAUUUUUCUAGAUAAUUGCCUUAGAAGUUCCCUCUCUACUGCAUCUCUGUCUUUAUUAUACUGUACACAUCCAAUGUUUUUUCUACUAUGAUUUAUGUUUACUAGCUUCUGUUAAGGCCCA